rnacentral:rRNA from 1 species
CUGGCGGCGUGCCUAAUACAUGCAAGUCGAACGCACUCUCGUUUAGAUUUGAAGGAGUUUGCUCCUGAUUGAUAAACAUUUGAGUGAGUGGCGGACGGGUGAGUAACACGUGGGUAACCUGCCCUAAAGUGGGGGAUAACAUUUGGAAACAGAUGCUAAUACCGCAUAAAACCUAACACCGCAUGGUGUAGGGUUGAAAGAUGGUUUCGGCUAUCACUUUAGGAUGGACCCGCGGUGCAUUAGUUAGUUGGUGAGGUAAAGGCUCACCAAGACCGUGAUGCAUAGCCGACCUGAGAGGGUAAUCGGCCACACUGGGACUGAGACACGGCCCAGACUCCUACGGGAGGCAGCAGUAGGGAAUCUUCCACAAUGGACGAAAGUCUGAUGGAGCAACGCCGCGUGAGUGAAGAAGGUUUUCGGAUCGUAAAACUCUGUUGUUGGAGAAGAAUGUAUCUGAUAGUAACUGAUCAGGUAGUGACGGUAUCCAACCAGAAAGCCACGGCUAACUACGUG